UACGAAGGGGGCUAGCGUUGCUCGGAAUGACUGGGCGUAAAGGGCGCGUAGGCGGGCUGCCAAGUCAAGGGUGAAAGCCCCCGGCUCAACCGGGGAAGUGCCUCUGAUACUGGCGGCCUCGAGGGAGGUAGGGGCGUGCGGAACUUCCGGUGGAGCGGUGAAAUGCGUAGAUAUCGGAAGGAACACCGGUGGCGAAAGCGGCGCGCUGGACCUCUUCUGACGCUGAGGCGCGAAAGCCAGGGGAGCGAACGGG
rnacentral:rRNA from 1 species